CAGAUGACUGCAGCCCCAGCUGACAUCUUGUCUAUGACCUCGUGAGAGACCCUGAGCAAGAACCAUUCAGCUAAGCUGCUCCCAGAUUCCUGAUCCCGGAAACUACGAUGACCAAAUCAAUAAAUCCUGGCUACCGGGGGGAAGAAGCACGAGGGAGACGAUGAGUCUGAAUUUGUGGGGUGCUGCUCGGCCCAGAUUUCAAGCCCACAUAUUCUUUGCUCAGACCGUUUGCCUGGAGCCAAGGAGCUGCACACCGCUCGUCAGGUACGGUUAGGGACAAGAAUCUCAAAAGAGCCAAAAAAAAAAAAAAAAAAA